AAGAUUCAGAAUACUCAAUUCACAUACACCAUAUGUGAAUUUUUAAUUUUUAAUAGUAAAAAGUUAAUUAUCAUUUUUACGAAGUUAUCGGUUAAUGCUUACUAUAUAUAUUUACUUUGUAAUUGCUUCGAUUUGAUUCUUUAAAUAUUUUAAGCUCUAUUUAUGCCCAUUUUCAUUUCUAGCCAUAUAAUGAUGUUUCAUAGAGAAGCUCAACUUUUGGCCUUCCCCUUGACAUUUUCUCUUGAGGCACCUUCUUGGAAAUUUGAACUAAUGGUAGUUUAUGUCCCUCCUCUGUUAUAAUUUCGGCUAUUAAAAUCUCUAUCGUUAAUCAAAGUUCUACAUUUGUUCUAUUUUUGACGAAAUGGGACACGUGGCAGAUUUGAACUUAAAAAUCUAUCCCACAACUGAACUAACCUGUCCUAACCCAUGACCCGUCGGAUCCCCCCACUCUAAAUUAAAAAACCCGAUAACCUAAUAACCCUCCCCUCAUCGUAAAUCAACCAUUGAUAAAUCAAUAGCGACCAAAUUUAGAGUUCUGGUGUUUUCUCUCAUCUCUUUUCUUCUUAAACUUAUGCGUUAAGGAUGUUUAGGUCGUCGAAAGGCAUACAAUAUCGGAGAAUAGUUGUUCAUCGAAGAUGAUGUGCAAUUGUGGAGAAGUUACCAAUCAUUUCACUUCGAAAAACUCUCCUAAACCCAGGAAAGACAUUCUACAAGUGUCCUAAACUUGAGAAUGAAGGAUGUGGUUUCUGGCAAUGGAACGAUGAAGAGUUCACUGAUGCUGCGUUAAUUGCAAUAAACAAUGUACGAUUAGAAGCUGCAAAUCGAGAGAUUAAUAUGUUGAAUAUUUCUUUGGAAGCUCUUAAAGUUGAAAGGGAUGGCUUGAACUAAAGGGUUGAAGUAUUAGAGGCUAUGAAUAAUUCUGCAGUUAAAAAAUCUAUGAAAUUGGAAGACAAGGUGUUGAAGAUGAAGAUGUUCAGCAUAAUUUUAAGUGCCCUAAUUGUUGGAUUUACUUUCUCGUUUAUGAAGUGAAUUACUUAGGACAAUCUUGUAUCUGUAAUAUUUUUAUUUAGUACUAAUGGAAAUUGUUAGUGACUUUUUUUGGCUAA